rnacentral:lncRNA from 1 species
CGGGGGUGCGGGGCCUAAGCACACGAAAGCCCCGUGGCCUGGAGGGCCCGGCGGAGGCGGACAGCGGGGGAGGAGCCGAGGCCCCGGCAGCUCUGUCUCCGCGGCGCGGCCCCGGAGACGCACCAGGAGCGGCGGGGGGAAGGAACGGCCCCCAGGGCGACGGUUCCCGGCUCCGCGCCUCUCGCCCCGGUCGGCUGGAGCGAGAAGGGGAACCAUGCGCCGCCACCGGCAGGGCCGGGGGCGGGCGAGCCGCACUCGCCUCCCCUCCGGCCACAGCCGAGCGGCGGAGCAGCGGGAAGGAGGCCCGGGCCCCACGACCUCCGAGGCCUCGGCGGCCCCAGCCGGCCCGCCCCGAUCUCCUACUCACCGUUGGCGCGUUUGAGGGCAUUUUCCGGCCUCUGGAAAUACGCCGGCAUCUUGGCGGCAGGCUCCGCUCACCCGGCGUCAGCGAACUCCUCAGUGGCCCGGGCCGGGAGAGGAGACCAAGGGGAACCAGCGCGAGGUCCCACGCGCCUCGCCUGCAGUCGCCCGCGCCCAGCCGGCCAGAGACGGAAAGGAAGAGACCACGUGACCCCCGCGCCGCGGCGCCGCCGCCGCCCGGGCCCCGGAUGUAGGGGGCGGGCCUCUGCGCGCGCACCGCCCCUCCCCCGCGCGCAGGCGCGCUGGCGGCACGCGAGCCGGCUGACGUGGCCACGGCCGGCGUCCUCUGCGCGGUCCGCUUCCCUUUCGGGAUUCAGAAGGGACCCUUUGGGAGGUGCUUCUCGGACCCCUUGCUCCUGGAGCGAGGAUCGGGGUAAAAUAAAAAAGUUGGUGACACAGAGAUUGCCUGAGGAAUGGGACCCCUCAGAAAAGACGAGUUUUGAGCUGAGACCUGAAGGAUGGGGGCAGACGGGACAGAGCAUUUUGGCAGAGGGCAAAAGCCCUGCGGCAGAGCAGACCUGCAUAAGGUUUGAGAAUACUUAGGAGUGUGGUCGUCUUUACCUUCAGCUUCACCAACAAACAAAAAUGAGUGUAAGUGACAGCAAAAUCGGUUUAUG